AUGUCAUUUAUACACAUUCAAUUAAAAUGCACUUGUUGUCUUAUUAUUAUUAUUAUUAUUAUUAUGUUUUCCUGCUUUAGCAGAAUUAGCGCUGAGAAGCGGUUGGGAAGCUGGAGCUGUUGGAUGGUUCAGCAGCAGCAACAGGUGCAUGGGAGGAUGUGGAAAACUGGCAUUGAAAACACGCACAAGCAAUGAUCCAGCAGUCCUGGAGUAGUAAAAAGGUGAUGAAGACUAUGCACACCCACAGCCAUGGUCUUGCCUUACCCACAGUGCACCUCUCUGCUCCGGGCACAAGAUGAAUCCUCCACUACUCAUGACCAGGAGUGCAGGUCAUCAGAAAUUAGCCACCUGACAUCAGUUUAUUUGUCUGUUUUUAUUUUUAUGUAUAUUUUGUAUGAAUAUGUGAAACAUAAUAAAAAUGUAUUAAAAUAAGCUA
rnacentral:lncRNA from 1 species